UUGCAGCUGAGUGCUGUUGCUGCCAGGAUCGUAGCUCCAAGAGUUUGAAGGAUCAGGAGACUUUUGCAUGCAGGUUAUGGAGCUAAAGGAGUGAAUUCUGUGGGCAGGGAGGGCUUUGAAGGAUUGAUACAAAAAGCAUAUUAAUGGAAUAACACAUACUGACUGGAGAGAGAAACCCCAGCAAACUGGAAUGAUCCUGAGGCAACAAUAACAGGUGGAAGGCAUGGGCUUGAGUGGUCAAGAUUCAACAAACAGACAUGCUUGAACAGCCCCUCUCAGAAGGGAAGAUCAGGACCCACAGAAAGCUAGCAGCUAUGGCUGUAAUUAAGAAGACAUCUGUAAACAACAACAAAAUGUCACCUGCCUGCCAAAGGCAGCAAUCCUGAACUGUUUAGCUGGUGAGUGGCACCACAACCUUCAACAUCAACAGAGAUCACUAUUGCUCAGAGUAAGUGGCACUCUAUUUUCAACUACAUUUACAUUAUAAUCCUAUGCACAAAAAAGGUAUCUCCAUAGGGCAGGUUCACACAAUCAGAAUUGAUGCCCAUUUACCAGGGUUUGGAAUUUCCAGUGGGCAUGUGCUCCUGCAAAGCAUGUUGUGUGGGCAGCAAAAAAAACCCUCCCAAUCCUGGGUUGGCAGUGUGCCAAUCAGACAUAUUACUGGGAUUGGUAAGCUUAGAUCAAAACUUGGCUGAUCCAAGUUAAAUGUCGGCUGGCAUGGUGCCAACCUGGGAUCAGGAGGUCUUUUGCUGCCCACACAUGUUUUGUGAGAAUGUGUACCCACUGAGAAUCCUAGAUACCUGGUAAACAGAUAUUGAUUCAGAUUGUGUGAACCAGCCCAUAUAUUACAAUUGUUAAUCAAAACGCCCAUGUUCCCUGCAUCAGACUUUAACGCGGAGACAUCAUACUAGCACCUAUGUUCACACAUCUGGGACAGCUGGCUGGGCCAGGGUCCUAAGAUGCAUAAACAUGGGUAUUCAAAGUUGCAUGUACACACAUGUUACAUGUUUGCUGAGGGAAACACUGGGAGUAACACUAGCAUUCCCCACAGCAAUGUGUGGAUGGCCAUUAUACUUUGAAAUCCCACUCAAUGCAGCGGAACAUGUGUCUGAUAAACAUGCAGAGAAUCAGGCUGACAAUAAAUAACGUAUUGGCAAGAUGUGUGCUGGCUAUAAUACUUCUAAAGUGGUUUCUUGGAUUUUCCUUCUCUAUUUUAGGAUCCUUGAGCAACUCUGUGCAACCUCACAUCAUAACAUUAUCUUUGCUUUAAAAAACGUGGAUCUCAAUUUGUCCAUCCAUGUGUAUUUAAGGUGUGUGUGCGUGCAAACCCCACCAAUAGAAAACUCAAAACCAAGUGCAAAUUUAGAGAGAGAGAGAGAGAGAGGGGGGGGGGGGGGAGAGAGAGAUUCAUCUCCUCUAAAUGUCUAAUCUGGAAUAGGGAUUUCAGGGCAGGAAAAUGUAGUGUAGGGAGAGUUAGGGAGACAAAACCUUGAAGACAAGAGGAGUGGAAGAAAGAAAGGUGGGUGGGGGGAAGAGGGGAGCCUUUGCUUGACAAAAGCUGUCAAUUACCAGCGUCUGGCGUGGAACGUGUUUGCUUUUGUCCCCCCCCAGACAUCUGCUGCGUGCUGCCUCCUGCCAGUUGGCCAGUGCGGGCCAGGAGAAUGCUGUGAAAGCCAUCCGAUGCGCCUGCCCUCUGAUGCACUAUUCAAGUCUGUCGUGUUCUUUCUGCCCCCAAACAAUGAGCCGGCGGGACAUGGAGCUGAAUGAGCAAUGGGUUUAAUAAAAGGGAACCUCAAACAAAACGCAGCGGGGAGAGAGGGGUGGUGACGGCACUUGAGGACACAGCUGAAAAGAAACAUGCUUCGCCCCCAUGAACAUAUUCUUAAGCAUGCUGGGGUUUGUCUUCUUAGGUAUCGGAUCACAAAAGGUCUCUCAGUCCUUCUCUGGUUGCUGUAGCUUAGUUCCUUUCCCAAUCCUUUUCUUUUCUUUUUUUAAAUUAAAGUGCAUGUCUUCCUCGUG